GAGAGAGAGAGAGAGAGAGAGAGAGAGAGAGGGGGAAAUAAUUAACCUUACUUUUUUUAACCAUCGUAUAUAAACACCUCUUGUUUCUUAAACUCUUCUAUUCGAGAUUUUCAAUGUUUCAACCCGAGAGAGCGAAACGGGCUACCUGUCUUCUGGAUAACGGGGAGAAAAGAUAAUGGAAAAAACAAUG